GAGAAUAAGAACUAGAACCACAACUAUAUCUUAAAAGCCUGAGUAGUGUUUGCUUA
rnacentral:sRNA from 1 species